CCCUUACNGGGAGGCAGCAGUAGGGAAUCUUCCGCAAUGGACGAAAGUCUGACGGAGCAACGCCGCGUGAGCGAUGAAGGCCUUCGGGUCGUAAAGCUCUGUUGUUAGGGAAGAACAAGUACCGGAGUAACUGCCGGUACCUUGACGGUACCUAACCAGAAAGCCACGGCUAACUACGUGCCAGCAGCCGCGGUAAUACGUAGGUGGCAAGCGUUGUCCGGAAUUAUUGGGCGUAAAGCGCGCGCAGGCGGUCCUUUAAGUCUGAUGUGAAAGCCCACGGCUCAACCGUGGAGGGUCAUUGGAAACUGGGGGACUUGAGUACAGAAGAGGAAAGCGGAAUUCCACGUGUAGCGGUGAAAUGCGUAGAGAUGUGGAGGAACACCAGUGGCGAAGGCGGCUUUCUGGUCUGUAACUGACGCUGAGGCGCGAAAGCGUGGGGAGCAAACAGGAUUAGAUACCCUGGUAGUCCACGCCGUAAACGAUGAGUGCUAAGUGUUAGAGGGUUUCCGCCCUUUAGUGCUGCAGCUAACGCAUUAAGCACUCC
rnacentral:rRNA from 2 species